rnacentral:rRNA from 1 species
AUACGGAGGAUCCGAGCGUUAUCCGGAUUUAUUGGGUUUAAAGGGAGCGUAGGUGGACAGUUAAGUCAGUUGUGAAAGUUUGCGGCUCAACCGUAAAAUUGCAGUUGAUACUGGCUGUCUUGAGUACAGUAGAGGUGGGCGGAAUUCGUGGUGGAGCGGUGAAAUGCUUAGAUAUCACGAAGAACUUCGAUUGCGAAGGCAGCUCACUGGACUGCAACUGACACUGAUGCUCGAAAGUGUGGGUAUCAAACAGGAUUAGAUACCCUGGUAGUCCACACAGUAAACGAUGAAUACUCGCUGUUUGCGAUAUACAGUAAGCGGCCAAGCGAAAGCAUUAAGUAUUCCACCUGGGGAGUACGCCGGCAACGGUGAAACUCAAAGGAAUUGACGGGG